CCAUGCUGAUGACAUAAAAUAUGCAGUUGUAAAAUCGACGGUGGGUGCAGUGGAAUAAAUGAAACAAGACACAAAAUUUAUGAGGUUCCUCUACAGUCAGUGUGACUGGAGUACGUCCUCGGGGCAGCUGUGAUGCUUUCAUUAUAAUCUGAAAUAAUAGGAGUACAAAGAUAACUCUCUCUAUUAUCUCCUCUCAUCUUCCUCUAUUCUCUCUCUUCCUCUUCCUUCUCUCUCUUCCUCUUCCUUCCUUCCUCUCUUUCUUUCCCGUGAACUUCACUCACUUCAUUCAUCUUCUUCCUUUAUAUAAACAAAAGAAAGCACUAUUCACUUUACAAAUUUUCCACAAAUGAAUAGUGAAAAUACUGUGCAUAAAUAGUAACAAACUAUUCAUGUGGACCAUCCACAUAAUAUUUACAACACUCCCCCUUGGAUGGCCACAAGUCUUCGAUUGACUCGUUAAAAUCUUGAUCUGUCUUGGAUGCUCCCCGUGAUGAGUAUCUCCCCCUGAUCUCAAAUCAUUUAGGUUGAUCGUUGAUUGUUCUGCUUUAGUCUCUUAGUAAGAAGAAAUGCUAAAAGAGUUGCUUUACUUAUUGUUAACUUUCCACAGCCUUUUUCUUGAACUGGGUUGUAGGACUUUCUGCUAGACUAGCAUUGAAGAUCGGAAUUUACUCAUUUUAUCUGGAGCGGAAUUUGAUUCAAGAGUAAUGAACACUUGAUCUUGAAUCGGACUUGUGAUUUCUUCAAGGACCUUCGAUGCUUGAUCUUGAAUGAAAUUGGACCAUGAGGAGCUUCAUGUGGCAAGUGAUCUUCAGUUUUGUCAGGGAUGAAUCAGCACGCGUUUGUUGCGCUUGUCUCCACAUGCUUCAAUGUAUCAUUUUUACUUUCCUUACUUGCUCCCCUUGCUUAAGUAGUAUUUUCCCUGCUUUUCCCCCAUGCAUGUGUGGCAUCUUCUCCGGCAGUAUUUGCCCUCUAAUGCCGGAGUGGAGUGCAACCCUUGCAUUUGGAUGGUUCAUCACUUCUUGGUGACUGGAGACCCAGCUCCAACCGUUGAAGAUGACUACUCGAGAGCAACAUUAGGUAAGCAAUCAGGAAAGGUUCCAGGCAGUCGGUUCCUUACCGGGAGUUUAAGUGGAGGUUUCGACAUAUUGCUUUCUUUAUCCUUGUCUUCGCAGGCAAAGAACAUGGACAAAGGAAAGGACAGGGAGAUUGCAUGAUAUGAGAUAAUCUUGCUCUGGUCCCUGAAGAUAUGUGAUAAUCUUGCUCUGGUGUGACAUGUUUGAAGAGGUAUUCUCGGAGAGGAAGAAAACUGAGUAUUUCGAGAUGCUAUGUUGAAGAUGCAUUCUCGGAGAUGAGGAAGAGUUAGGUAUUCUUGCAGUGUUGUGGGUCUGCCUUGUUAUGGAGAACAGAGGUCGACAUAUAUAGAGAUUUCUCAAUAGCAAGUGGUGGUGCUGUGCUUUUACUCUUGUCAGCAACUGUGGUGUAAAUAGAACAGUAAGAUUUACGCGUUUUCAACUUUGUCAGAGAUCUUUGACAAAAUUGCACGCGACAUCUGAAAAAGUUGGGAUUACGUCUGAAAAAUACCAACGAACUUUAUUCAGGAAAAUCUGGCUUUUGAAAUUCGGAGAGCGGUGCCUCUUCGAUCUUUGAACAAGUGGCUCUACUGCCUCUUCUUUUAUAGAGACAUCAAUUGUGUUCAAGGGUAUGCUCAGAAAAUUGCUGCCUGAGAAAUUUCCACCUUCUUGCACUUCUGAAAUUUUAUUUGACCUCUGUUUUUCCUUCAUCAUUUCUGAAAAAUGACUUGCCCAUCUAACAUUUGCUUAGAUUUGAGUCUUAGGAGUGAUACAGACGAGCAGUGUCAGGAUAAUAUAUGGCGCCCGUCCUUCUUAUCUUCUAAUGGUCCUCUUACGGUUGGGGACUCUAUGAUGAAGAAUAACAUAACCGCUACUGUGGUAGCUAGGAAUCUUCUCACUCCAAGGGAUAACAAGAUCCUUUCAGAACGGUCUGAAGAGUCGGCCAUUCAAGACUCCUUGGCUCUCAGUGUUCAGUGUGCUGGCUCUGUGUCCAAUAUGGGCCAACGCCUACUUGCUCAAACUCGCCAAGUUGAAUCAUUGAUGGCGGAGGUGGCAAGUCUUAAACAAGAGAUCAGAGGGCUCAAGCACGAGAAUAGGAUGUUACACGUGCUUGCAAAUAGUUACUCUACGAGCAUGAAAAAGAAAGCUCGUCCAACUGCAGGAAUCCGAAAGUCGGAUUCAAAGUGAUCACCAGAGGUUCGUUGCUAGAUUCCGAAAGCAACUGAUGCCUUCCCCUUCUGGUGUUUUGCUAAGUACUGGGGUGCCACAUGAUCAAUCUCCAGUGCCUCCCCCUUCUGGGGUACUUCCGAGUACUGAGGCUUCACAUGAGCAACCUUUGUGAAGGCUCCAUCCUGUUUGUUUGUUUUAACUCAUGUGUAUGUAUAUAUCUGUAAUUUCUUGGAGAUAUUAAUAAAUAAGCUUUAUUUCAUUCAAUGUAUUGUGCCAAAUACAAUAAAGCAUAUACUUCACUAAGAUGUGGUACUUCUGGACCAAAUAUUAAUUUAUCUUUACCCUCACGAAGAUAAAUGAUUAUUCUUAGUGUCUUCAUCAUAUGAGUAUUCAACUCAUAAUCUUCAAUCCAUAUGGUUCUUUUAAUAUCAUAAAUAUCAUGGAUAAGAUUCGUGUUGGUAGAUUGUUCGAUCUGCAGCUCGAGACAAUAAUUCCUUCAACACUUUAUAUAAUUUUUCUAGACUCUUCAGGAGUCCCAAUUUAAUAUCAUCAACUCUUCAAGAGUUAUAAUUUAAUGUCAUUGACUCUUGCAAGAGAUUUUAGUAUGUUGCAACAAUAUCAUAAUGAUAGUACUCACUAAGGCAAUUUAUAUAAUCCAUUGGUAUUGAGUACAUAUUUUAUGUUUUUACCCUUCAGAGGCUUACUUCAAGCAAUUUGAAUCCUUCAAGGGUUUUCUACACUUCAUGAUACAUUUUCCUUUGGAAAUUAUACACAGAGCAAUUCGCUCCCAUGUAUACUUGAGGGAUUUACUUAUGGAGAUAUGAUGUGGGCGACUCACAACCCUUCGUAUAUAAUUCUCCAUUUAUAUGAACUCGUUUACAACCUUGUGUCAUAUCAUGUAAGUGUAUUACACUGUAUUACAAAUGCCCAUAUAUAACCUCCUUGGUUCAACAUCUUUUGGCUAUUUGUAUUGUAUUCAAAUAUAUAUAGGUUUCAUUUGCCCACGUUCUUACAAAAUUGUAAUGGAAUUGCCUUUCUCCAUUUUGGCCAAUAAUUUUUCUUUUGUCGACGAACAAAAAGAACGUGACUCAAUAUUAACACAGUUCAUUGAUGAAUUUAGUAGCUACUUGUAAAAACCAAAAUUACCAUUGGUUAUCAUCAAUCCGUGAUCCCAUAUUCUCAUGUGCAUGCGCAUGCAUAAAAAGCUUUUCAUUUCUUUGGAUAUCCAUUGCCUCUUCAAGGGCAUGACGCUAUCUCUUCCAGGAUAGUCAUAAUUGAGAGAAUGUGGAUCAUAACCUCCUCUUGAGCGUUAUAGAGCUUGGAUUUUCUCCACUUCCGGGAGUUGAGUCUUUGGAACCUAUACAUCUAUCAUGCUACAUGCAUGAGACAUCAAUAUUCCCAUGUCUGUGGAUUGUCCUAUCUGGGACGUAUAUCCAUGCGGCGACUGUCAUGCUUCUGGCAUGCAACAGUUAUGCUUCGGGAAUGCAAUAGUUCAGUAGUGCCAUAUUAUUCUUCUUUCGAAUAACUGAACCUUUUGAGUCUCAAAAUCUGCCACGCUUCAGGCGUGCAACAGAUAAAUCAUUUACUGUCUCAUUAUUUUAUCCAACAGAGACAUCAAUUCUUGUAGGCACAUUUGCAGUAAGUAUAUAUGAUUUCAUCACUUUCGUUGUAUCAUUCAAUUAUCCAUAUUUCAUUUUCUCAUUGAUUGCUUCGUGAAUCAAAAUAAGACAAAUUCUCUUCGUUCUUCUGGAACGGUCUUUUCUCAUCAUUCUUUUGGAAUGAUAUUUUCUCAUCGUUCUUCUGGAACGAUAUUAUUUUCUCCCCCUAAUGGCAGGAAAAUUGUCUUAUCAAAAUGACAGUCCGCAAACCAUGCGGUAAAACAUAUCCCCAAUCAAGAAUUCCAAAUAUUGAAUGAUAGAUGGUGUUCAACAUCAAUGCCUAAUCUGCAAUGAUGCCUCAUUUCAGUACGUUGUGGCAGUCUUACAGGCACAUAGACAACACAACCAAAAACUCGUAAAUGUAUAAUGUUUGGUUGGUUCUAAACCCGAGUUAUACUGAGAAGUAUUGAUGGUCGGUAACAUGUCUCAACCGAAUUAAUAAUGCAUCAUGUAAAGUUUACAUGUCCCCAUGUAGAAAAUUGGCAAUUUCGUUUUCAUGAGCAGAGCGCGGGAAAUCAAUUUCAUUCGAUUAAUAAAGGCUUCUGCUAACCAUUUUGAGUAUGGACAUAAGGAACUUCUGGUCCUUAUUUAAUAGUCUGUAAACUGAGACUCUUAUGGCUUUUAUUACAAUUAAGUUAAGGCACUGCGGCACUUCAAACUUACGGUACUCAUCUAGGAACUUCAUGUCCUGAUCUUCAGGAUCAAGGGACUUCAUGCCAGAUCCUUUUGUAUGAUGGAACUUCGGGUCCAAUCAUUUUAUAUGAUGAGGAUCAAGAAACUGCAGGUUCUGAUCUGAUCAAGGAACUUCAGGUCCUGUAUAUACUCAUAGUAACAAAAGAUAAGUACAAUAAAUAAAUUAAAGCAAUAGACGGUAAUUCCAGCCAUAAUGAAUAAAUUGCAUUUAAGUAAAUAAAGCUUGUGACAAGGGCUUUAAUUCAGCACCAUCAAAACUUAAAGCAAUAGGCGGUAAAACCGUCCAUGGUAAAUAAAUUGCUUUAAAGUAAAUAAAGCAUGUGACAAGGGCUUUGAUUCAGCACCAUUCACAUAAAUAUCAAAGCUUUAAAGCAAAGGGUAAUAAUUCUACCCACUAUAUAAUAAAUUGCUUUAAAUAAAUAUAGAACUUGUGACAUGGGCUUUAAAACCAACACCAUGCACAUAAAUAUGCCAAAACAGAAAAUGCAAUGAUUAAGUCCUCAUGUUUUGCUUUUUCAUUUUCUUGGUCUGCCACUUCUUUUGUUUCAUCCCUUUUAUUUUUAUUAUUAUUUCACAGUUCGAAGUCAUUUUGGUUACUCAGUAAAUAAUAGUAACAAUAAGUUCCAAUUGGUGUUCCUCUUCCGGUGAGUUUCGAAAAAGUCGAAACGAUUCCCAUAAGUUUUGGAGUCAAGAGUGUCUGCAACUUAUGAGAAGAUCAAACCGUUAGAUUUAGUUCAAAAUUUAGUAUGAUAUGGAUAAGAGGAUACCAAACAACUUUCGUGAAGAAACAAUUUCGAUUUGAACUACCGAAAUGGAGUUUUGGUACUCAUAAGGUGGCUGCCCAGUUUUCUGCGGAAAUUGGAAACGGGUUUGGUAUUUCAGACAUCUGCGACGAUCGCACCGUUAACAUUUUCUGAAAUUUUGAUAUGUUGUAGAUACUGAGCAGACGAACAACUUUCAAGAAGAAAGUAUUUCAAUCCGAGGUCCGCAAGUUGGAGUUCCGAGGCUAUUUACAUGGCUGUCAAAUUCUCUUACAAAUUUUGAGUCUUUUACUCUUUUGCUUCUGCAAAGGAUGAUAUACAGUCAUAUAACAAUAUAUAUAGUUGCUUCAAGAAAAUCAAUUGUACUGAGAUUUGAAGAUGAAAUGAAAUUUUUUUCUUAUCUAUGAGAUUCCAGCUGGAGGAGGUGAACAGGAUUUGUGGCGUUGUGUGCUUUCCACUGACAUGAGAGCUUCUCGUGCUGAUAACGUGUUGUAAAAUCGACGGUGGGUGCAGUGGAAUAAAUGAAACAAGACACAAAAUUUACGAGGUUCCUCUACAGUCAGUGUGACUGGAGUACGUCCUCGGGGCAGCUGUGAUGCUUUCAUUAUAAUCUGAAAUAAUAGGAGUACAAAGAUAACUCUCUCUAUUAUCUCCUCUCAUCUUCCUCUAUUCUCUCUCUUCCUCUUCCUUCUCUCUCUUCCUCUUCCUUCCUUCCUCUCUUUCUUUCCCGUGAACUUCACUCACUUCAUUCAUCUUCUUCCUUUAUAUAAACAAAAGAAAGCACUAUUCACUUUACAAAUUUUCCAC
rnacentral:lncRNA from 1 species